UACGUAGGGUGCAAGCGUUAAUCGGAAUUACUGGGCGUAAAGCGUGCGCAGGCGGUUAUGUAAGACAGGGGGGAAAUCCCAGGGCUUAACCUUGGAACUGCAUUUGUGACUGCAUAGCUAGAGUACGGUAGAGGGGGAUGGAAUUCCGCGUGUAGCAGUGAAAUGCGUAGAUAUGCGGAGGAACACCGAUGGCGAAGGCAAUCCCCUGGACCUGUACUGACGCUCAUGCACGAAAGCGUGGGGAGCAAACAGG
rnacentral:rRNA from 1 species